rnacentral:rRNA from 1 species
GGUUAAGUGACUAAGCGUACACGGUGGAUGCCUUGGCAGUCAGAGGCGAUGAAAGACGUAGUAACUUGCGAUAAGCCCAGAUUAGGUAGUAACAACCAUUUGAGUCUGGGAUUUCUGAAUGGGGAAACCCACUUACAUAAGUAAGUAUCAUUAACUGAAUACAUAGGUUAAUGAGGCGAACCGGGGGAACUGAAACAUCUAAGUACCCCGAGGAAAAGAAAUCAACCGAGAUUCCGAAAGUAGCGGCGAGCGAAAUUGGACUAGCCCUUAAGCUUUACACGCGUUAGACGAACGGUCUGGAAAGUCCGACGAUACAGGGUGAUAGUCCCGUAGUUGACGACGUGUGUUCAGUGAAAUCGAGUAGGGCGGGACACGUGAUAUCCUGUCUGAAUAUGGGGGGACCAUCCUCCAAGGCUAAAUACUACUGACUGACCGAUAGUGAACCAGUACCGUGAGGGAAAGGCGAAAAGAACCCCUGUGAGGGGAGUGAAAUAGAACCUGAAACCGUGUACGUACAAGCAGUAGGAGCAGGCUUUGUCCUGUGACUGCGUACCUUUUGUAUAAUGGGUCAGCGACUUAUAUUCAGUGGCAAGGUUAACCAUCUAGGGGAGCCGUAGGGAAACCGAGUCUUAACUGGGCGUUCAGUCUCUGGAUAUAGACCCGAAACCAGGUGAUCUAGCCAUGGGCAGGUUGAAGGUUGAGUAACAUCAACUGGAGGACCGAACCGACUAAUGUUGAAAAAUUAGCGGAUGACUUGUGGCUAGGGGUGAAAGGCCAAUCAAACCUGGAGAUAGCUGGUUCUCCCCGAAAGCUAUUUAGGUAGCGCCUCGGACGAAUACUACUGGGGGUAGAGCACUGUUAAGGCUAGGGGGUCAUCCCGACUUACCAACCCUUUGCAAACUCCGAAUACCAGUAAGUACUAUCCGGGAGACACACGGCGGGUGCUAACGUCCGUCGUGGAGAGGGAAACAACCCAGACCGCCAGCUAAGGUCCCAAAUUACUACUAAGUGGGAAACGAUGUGGGAAGGCUCAGACAGCCAGGAUGUUGGCUUAGAAGCAGCCAUCAUUUAAAGAAAGCGUAAUAGCUCACUGGUCGAGUCGGCCUGCGCGGAAGAUGUAACGGGGCUAAGUAGUAAACCGAAGCUGCGGCAAUGUGCUUUUGCACAUUGGGUAGGGGAGCGUUCUGUAAGCGGUUGAAGGUGUGUGGUAACGCAUGCUGGACGUAUCAGAAGUGCGAAUGCUGACAUGAGUAACGAUAAAGGGGGUGAAAAACCUCCUCGCCGGAAGACCAAGGGUUCCUGUCCAACGUUAAUCGGGGCAGGGUAAGUCGACCCCUAAGGCGAGGCCGAAAGGCGUAGUCGAUGGGAAACGGGUUAAUAUUCCCGUACUUCUUACAAUUGCGAUGGGGGGACGGAGAAGGCUAGGUGGGCCUGGCGACGGUUGUCCAGGUUCAAGUGCGUAGGCUUAAGAGUUAGGUAAAUCCGGCUCUUUUUAAGGCUGAGACACGACGUCGAGCACCUACGGGUGUGAAGUCAUUGAUGCCAUGCUUCCAGGAAAAGCCUCUAAGCUUCAGAUUGUAAGGAAUCGUACCCCAAACCGACACAGGUGGUCGGGUAGAGAAUACCAAGGCGCUUGAGAGAACUCGGGUGAAGGAACUAGGCAAAAUGGUACCGUAACUUCGGGAGAAGGUACGCUCUUGAUGGUGAAGUCCCUUGCGGAUGGAGCUGACGAGAGUCGCAGAUACCAGGUGGCUGCAACUGUUUAUUAAAAACACAGCACUGUGCAAAAUCGUAAGAUGACGUAUACGGUGUGACGCCUGCCCGGUGCCGGAAGGUUAAUUGAUGGGGUUAGACUUCGGUCGAAGCUCUUGAUCGAAGCCCCGGUAAACGGCGGCCGUAACUAUAACGGUCCUAAGGUAGCGAAAUUCCUUGUCGGGUAAGUUCCGACCUGCACGAAUGGCGUAAUGAUGGCCACGCUGUCUCCACCCGAGACUCAGUGAAAUUGAAAUCGCUGUGAAGAUGCAGUGUACCCGCGGCUAGACGGAAAGACCCCGUGAACCUUUACUACAGCUUGGCACUGAACAUUGACCCUACAUGUGUAGGAUAGGUGGGAGGCUUUGAAGCACGUACGCCAGUAUGUGUGGAGCCGUCCUUGAAAUACCACCCUUGUAGUGUUGAUGUUCUAACGUCGACCCCUAAUCGGGGUUGCGGACAGUGCCUGGUGGGUAGUUUGACUGGGGCGGUCUCCUCCCAAAGAGUAACGGAGGAGCACGAAGGUGGGCUAAUCACGGUUGGACAUCGUGAGGUUAGUGCAAUGGCAUAAGCCCGCUUGACUGCGAGAAUGACAAUUCGAGCAGGUGCGAAAGCAGGUCAUAGUGAUCCGGUGGUUCUGAAUGGAAGGGCCAUCGCUCAACGGAUAAAAGGUACUCCGGGGAUAACAGGCUGAUACCGCCCAAGAGUUCAUAUCGACGGCGGUGUUUGGCACCUCGAUGUCGGCUCAUCACAUCCUGGGGCUGAAGUCGGUCCCAAGGGUAUGGCUGUUCGCCAUUUAAAGUGGUACGCGAGCUGGGUUUAGAACGUCGUGAGACAGUUCGGUCCCUAUCUGCCGUGGGCGUUGGAAGAUUGAAGGGGGCUGCUCCUAGUACGAGAGGACCGGAGUGGACGAACCUCUGGUGUUCGGGUUGUGUCGCCAGACGCAUUGCCCGGUAGCUAAGUUCGGAAUCGAUAACCGCUGAAAGCAUCUAAGCGGGAAGCGAGCCCUGAGAUGAGUCUUCCCUGAUACUUUAAGUAUCCUAAAGGGUUGUCGGAGACUACGACGUUGAUAGGUCAGGUGUGUAAGUGCUGUGAGGCAUUGAGCUAACUGAUACUAAUUGCCCGUGAGGCUUAACCAU